rnacentral:rRNA from 1 species
UCCGCGUACUUGACGGUACUUCCAAAGGAAGCGCCGGCUAACUCCGUGCAGCAGCCGCGGUAAUACGGAGGGCGCAAGCGUUGUUCGGAAUCACUGGCGUAAAGCGCGUGCAGGCGGCUUGGUAAGUCGGGUGUGAAAUCCCGGAGCUCAACUCCGGAACUGCACCCGAUACUGCCUCGCUAGAGUCCCGGGAGAGGAUGGCGGAAUUUCCGGUGUAGAGGUGAAAUUCGUAGAUAUCGGAAGGAACACCAGCGGCGAAGGCGGCCAUCUGGACGGUGACUGACGCUCAGACGCGAAAGCGCGGGGAGCAAACAGGAUUAGAUACCCUGGUAGUCCGCGCUGUAAACGUUGGGUGCUAGGCGUCGUGGGUAUUGACCCCCGCGGUGCCGAAGCUAACGCAUUAAGCACCCCGCCUGGGGAGUACGGUCGCAAGACUAAAACUCAAAGGAAUUGACGGGGGCCCGCACAAGCGGUGGAGCAUGUGGUUCAAUUCGAAGCAACGCGAAGAACCUUACCUGGGUUUGACAUCUGGGGAACCUCUCUGAAAGGAGAGGGUGCCUUCGGGAGCCCCAAGACAGGUGCUGCAUGGCUGUCGUCAGCUCGUGUCGUGAGGUGUUGGGUUAAGUCCCGCAACGAGCGCAACCCUUGUCCUCUGUUGCCAUCAGGUUAUGCUGGGCACUCUGAGGAGACUGCCGGUGAUAAACCGGAGGAAGGUGGGGAUGACGUCAAGUCAGCAUGGCCUUUAUGUCUGGGGCUACACACGUGCUACAAUGGCCGGUACAAACCGUCGCGAUCUCGUGAGAGGGAGCUAAUCGGAGAAAGCCGGUCUCAGUUCGGAUUGCAGGCUGCAACUCGCCUGCAUGAAGUUGGAAUCGCUAGUAAUCGCGGAUCAGCACGCCGCGGUGAAUACGUUCCCGGGCCUUGUACACACCGCCCGUCACAUCACGAAAGCCGGCUGUACUAGAAGUCGCUGCGCUAACCCGCAAGGGAGGCAGGCGCCUAAGGUAUGGUCGGUGAUUGGGGUGUAAGCUA